rnacentral:lncRNA from 1 species
AUAUAACUGGAAUAGUGAGUAUUUUCCUUUUUUCCUCUACUCUUCCUGUGCAAGAAAAUAGUUGUCUCUUCUUCUCUUCAACAGUUGACAAGAACGUGAGUUCUAAAUAAAUUCAAGUGCCAUCCAUUUGGAUUCUUUGAAAGAUACCUUAGUUAAUCAUUAAUGUGAUUAAUUAACAAUGCCAAACGCCUGUAUUGCCCCUGGUUGUGUUGUGGGUCAGCCGAUGAAGUAAAUCCCGCCUCACGUUUCAACCCACCGGCUCCCUGCAAAUCCCAUUCGAGGACAAAAGUGGAUUCAUGCCAUCAAAAAAGUUGGAAACAAUUCGGAUUAUCAAGAAGAUUCAAAAAAUGUUCUAGUUGUAUGGUCGCUUCAUUUUCAGCCCGAUGAUGUCUCUUAUGAGUCUUUGGAUAUGAAUCCUAGUAGAAAGAAAAUCUAAUGUGGGAAAGUGUCAAAGCCUCGCUUAAAAGAAGAUGCAGUUCCUUGCAUUUACCCCCAACUUACCUAGUUAUCUAUCCAUUCCUUCAACAUGAAGAAGAUCAUCUACGGCCACUUCAGCUUCUCGCUUUGAGAAGGAGAAAGAAAGGAUUGAUUCAGGGUCUAAAGCUUUUUUCCAAGCUGACAAAAUCCCUCCAUUUGAAACUGUCAUCUCCUUAUUGAAAUAAGGGAUCAUUUCUCUACCCAGAGGAUUUCAAGUUCUUCAAAUCAAACCCAAAAAUAGAGAUAUUCUCCAAUUUCGUGAGGGUGGAAAUGGACUCCCUGUGGUAGAAAGAGGAAUAGUUCUAAAAGAAAAUAUGAGCUUCAAAGCUUUUCUCCAAGGUUUCAUUGUACCUACUCAUCGUCUUAAGCACUUAGUUAAGAAAGAUGGAAUACUUGCAGAGACUUGGCUAAUUCCAAACAUUUUGUCUCUUUUGAAAAGCCUUGAACUAGAAAAAGAAGAAUUUCUUAUUAAAGAUGCAUUGAAUAACUUUGAAUAAAAAGUAAAAGUGGCCGUUCUUUCUGAUGAAAAAAAGAUGAAGUUGGAAUUUGCGAUGGAACAAUGCAAUUUGGGUCUCGGAGACAAAAAAUAUUCGCCAAGUUUAUUAGGUGUAUCGGCAGUUCUCAAAAUAACUUCUUCUGCGUGCUACAUAACUCUGGUUAAUGAGCUAUGUAUGAGUUUCCCAUCUCCCAGAACACUUGAUCGAUGGAUGCAGCCUUUAAAAGUUGGAACUGGAUUUCCUCCACAUACGAAGGCUUACUUGAAGCGUAGAGUACAAAACCUUAAUCGUAGAGAGCGUGUAGUGAUCCUCCUUCUAGAUGAAGUUUAUUACGCUCAAAGAGUAGAGUUUUCUGGAGGAAAAGUUACAGAUUUGACUGAAAAUAAAGUGACAAAGAUUCAAAGUUCUCUUGGUGGUUCCUUUAAUAAUAUUUGCUGUAUUCAAGAGGGUGACGAUUCGAAUAGUGAAAAAAUUCUAAGGAAUAGUUGAUAAACUGACCUGUGAACUUGAAGCAAUUUGAUUUCUUCAUCUGGAAUGGAUAAUCAUGCGACAAAUCGCAGUUAUGUUAAAAAAGAGUAUUCUUCAAAGGGAGUUUUCUCCCAUCAUAUCAGUGCAGAACGGGAAUUUUUCAGAAUUUUUGACCUAACUCAUCUCUUCAAAUCCAUCUAUAACAAUUGGAUGACCUCCGGAAUGUUUCUUUUGCCGCGGUUUUGCUCGAAGGACAUGGGGACACCGAAGAUUUCUCUUAUCCCAGAACUCUAGAAUAUUGAAAUUACAAAAGGGGCCAAAAUUACUCGGCUACUAACAAAAAAAUGUCUCGCAUCUACAGCAUUAGAGAAAACGUCUAUGCAAUUGACAAAUGCGGUAUUCCAUGAAAGUACAUUUGCUGGGCUAGAAGGGUAUGCAAAUAACGGCUACCCUCAUUUUCGACAGACUGCCCCUUUUCUGCGCCUUAUUAGGGAAUGUUGGAACCGUUUGAAUGUGAAAGAGUUAAGUGCUGCCACAAGACUUCCAGAUCCUACAAGAGAAACAAUAUAUGGAAAUAAUUCUUCAGCGGUAAUUUUUCUGAAAGAUUUUUCCUCUUUCUUAAGUGAUUGGGAAGAAUUAGUCAAGAAAACGGAGAAGAAGAAGGAUUCAUAUAAAUUUUCUUCGGCACAUCAAACGUUCUUCUCAGUGCGCCUUGCAAGUAAAGAAAUUCAUUCAUUGGCUCUUUAUUUGAUUAAUACCUGGGGAUUUGAGUUUUUACUUACACGGAAAUUCUAAUCUCACCAUAUUGAACAGUGAUUUAGACGACAUCGAAUGAUGGAAAGGGCAAACUAUUUCAUCUCUAUUAGACAACUUCUUCAAGCAGAAAAAACACUUCGCUUGAGAGCUUUUGUAAAAUAUACCAAAGUUUCAAUAACCGAGUUGUCCGGAAUAUUUGAAGACACCAAUGAAUUGGAAUGUGAAGGAGACUUAGAUUUGGCGUUUAACAUCUGCAACGAACUCUGUAACACCGAAAUUGGGUUUACCAAUGAAGAUGCCGCUCUCAAUGCUACUCUUUACUACAUCGGUGGGUUCAUUGCAAGGUCGGUCUCUAAAAAAAUUUCUUGUUCCAGCUGAAAGAAUCUUUAAAUUAAAGAGAGGGGUCCUUCGAUGUCAAUAAUAUUCAAGCUACCACUGAAGAAAAAGCUGAGAAAAACAGUUUAGUUGAGCUGAUUAAUAGAGGAGGACUUAUUACCCCUUCGAAUUUGCUCUUUUUGUCAAUUUGCUACAUAAUCAACCUCCUAAGUAGCAUUUUGAAAAGCUGAGAUUUAAUCAAAAAGUUGUUCAACGCUUCAUCUACUACUAAUAUUUUCAAUUGUGCGGUUAUCCAAAGAAUUAAUAGCGAUGAAAGUGCAAUCUCAAUUCUAGAUAAAAAAAUAAUAUUCAUUUACUUAGUAAUUUUGAUCAUAUCAAUUGCUCUUUUUAAUAUAAAAAAUGUCUGUUUAAAUUUUAAAGAAUCAAAGCAUUAUGUUGAAAUAAACUAUUUAAACAAUUCAAA